rnacentral:RNase_P_RNA from 2 species
GAAGUGGGCUGGACGGUCGCUGCUGUGGAGGUCUCCGUGACUGAAGCAGGGGAGGAAAGUCCGGGCUUCAUAGGGCAGGGUGCCAGGUAACGCCUGGGCGGUGUAAACCGACGGCAAGUGCAGCAGAGAGUAGACCGCCUCAUUCGUGAGGUAAGGGUGAAAGGGUGCGGUAAGAGCGCACCGCGUGUCUGGUAACAGUUCACGGCAAGGUAAACCCCACCAGAAGCAAGACCAAAUAGGAAUCCUGAGGCACGGCCCGUGCUGGAUUCGGGUAGGUCGCUUGAGCGUAUGAGUGAUUGUACGCCUAGAGGAAUGAUCGUCCUCGACAGAACCCGGCUUACAGGCCCACUUCUAAG